rnacentral:rRNA from 1 species
GACGAACGCUGGCGGUGUGCUUAACACAUGCAAGUCGAACGGUAAGGCCCUUUCGGGGGUACACGAGUGGCGAACGGGUGAGUAACACGUGAGUAACCUGCCCUCAUCUCUGGGAUAACAGUCGGAAACGGUUGCUAAUACUGGAUAUGAGCUUGCAAGGCAUCUUGUGGGUUGGAAAGAUUUUUUUUGGUUGGGGAUGGACUCGCGGCCUAUCAGCUUGUUGGUGAGGUAGUGGCUCACCAAGGCUUCGACGGGUAGCCGGCCUGAGAGGGCGACCGGCCACAUUGGGCCUGAGAUACGGCCCAAACUCCUACGGGAGGCAGCAGUGGGGAAUAUUGCACAAUGGACGGAAGUCUGAUGCAGCAACGCCGCGUGCGGGAUGACGGCCUUCGGGUUGUAAACCGCUUUCAAUUGUGACGAAGCUUUUUUGUGACGGUAGCAGUAGAAGAAGCACCGGCUAACUACGUG